rnacentral:tRNA from 1 species
GGGCCUGUAGUCUAGCGGAUAGGACGUUGGGCUUCGGACCCAAAAACCCCGGUUCGAAUCCGGGCUGGCCCG